rnacentral:rRNA from 1 species
UUGAAGAGUUUGAUCAUGGCUCAGAUUGAACGCUGGCGGCAGGCCUAACACAUGCAAGUCGAGCGGUAGCACAGAGAGCUUGCUCUCGGGUGACGAGCGGCGGACGGGUGAGUAAUGUCUGGGAAACUGCCUGAUGGAGGGGGAUAACUACUGGAAACGGUAGCUAAUACCGCAUAAUGUCGCAAGACCAAAGUGGGGGACCUUCGGGCCUCAUGCCAUCAGAUGUGCCCAGAUGGGAUUAGCUAGUAGGUGGGGUAACGGCUCACCUAGGCGACGAUCCCUAGCUGGUCUGAGAGGAUGACCAGCCACACUGGAACUGAGACACGGUCCAGACUCCUACGGGAGGCAGCAGUGGGGAAUAUUGCACAAUGGGCGCAAGCCUGAUGCAGCCAUGCCGCGUGUGUGAAGAAGGCCUUCGGGUUGUAAAGCACUUUCAGCGGGGAGGAAGGCGGUGAGGUUAAUAACCUCAUCGAUUGACGUUACCCGCAGAAGAAGCACCGGCUAACUCCGUGCCAGCAGCCGCGGUAAUACGGAGGGUGCAAGCGUUAAUCGGAAUUACUGGGCGUAAAGCGCACGCAGGCGGUCUGUCAAGUCGGAUGUGAAAUCCCCGGGCUUAACCUGGGAACUGCAUUCGAAACUGGCAGGCUAGAGUCUUGUAGAGGGGGGUAGAAUUCCAGGUGUAGCGGUGAAAUGCGUAGAGAUCUGGAGGAAUACCGGUGGCGAAGGCGGCCCCCUGGACAAAGACUGACGCUCAGGUGCGAAAGCGUGGGGAGCAAACAGGAUUAGAUACCCUGGUAGUCCACGCCGUAAACGAUGUCGAUUUGGAGGUUGUGCCCUUGAGGCGUGGCUUCCGGAGCUAACGCGUUAAAUCGACCGCCUGGGGAGUACGGCCGCAAGGUUAAAACUCAAAUGAAUUGACGGGGGCCCGCACAAGCGGUGGAGCAUGUGGUUUAAUUCGAUGCAACGCGAAGAACCUUACCUGGUCUUGACAUCCACAGAACUUUCCAGAGAUGGAUUGGUGCCUUCGGGAACUGUGAGACAGGUGCUGCAUGGCUGUCGUCAGCUCGUGUUGUGAAAUGUUGGGUUAAGUCCCGCAACGAGCGCAACCCUUAUCCUUUGUUGCCAGCGGUUCGGCCGGGAACUCAAAGGAGACUGCCAGUGAUAAACUGGAGGAAGGUGGGGAUGACGUCAAGUCAUCAUGGCCCUUACGACCAGGGCUACACACGUGCUACAAUGGCAUAUACAAAGAGAAGCGACCUCGCGAGAGCAAGCGGACCUCAUAAAGUAUGUCGUAGUCCGGAUUGGAGUCUGCAACUCGACUCCAUGAAGUCGGAAUCGCUAGUAAUCGUAGAUCAGAAUGCUACGGUGAAUACGUUCCCGGGCCUUGUACACACCGCCCGUCACACCAUGGGAGUGGGUUGCAAAAGAAGUAGGUAGCUUAACCUUCGGGAGGGCGCUUACCACUUUGUGAUUCAUGACUGGGGUGAAGUCGUAACAAGGUAACCGUAGGGGAACCUGCGGUUGGAUCACCUCCUU